rnacentral:rRNA from 1 species
GGAAUCUUGCACAAUGGGGGAAACCCUGAUGCAGCGACGCCGCGUGAGCGAUGAAGCCCUUCGGGGUGUAAAGCUCUUUCGACAGGGACGAUAAUGACGGUACCUGAAGAAGAAGCUGCGGCCAACUACGUGCCAGCAGCCGCGGUAAUACGUAGGCAGCGAGCGUUGUUCGGAAUUACUGGGCGUAAAGAGUGCGUAGGUGGUUGGCCAAGUUUGGUGGGAAAUCUCCCGGCUUAACUGGGAGGGUGCGCCGAAAACUGGCUGGCUAGAGUGUGGGAGAGGGAAGUGGAAUUCCUGGUGUAACGGUGAAAUGCGUAGAUAUCAGGAGGAACACCUGAGGUGUAGACGGCUUCCUGGACCAUUACUGACACUGAGGCACGAAAGCGUGGGUAGCAAACAGG